CCUACGGGAGGCAGCAGUGAGGAAUAUUGGUCAAUGGGCGCAAGCCUGAACCAGCCAAGUCGCGUGAGGGAUGACGGUCCUAUGGAUUGUAAACCUCUUUUGUCGGGGAGCAAGGCCCGCCACGUGUGGCGGGAAGGAGAGUACCCGAAGAAAAAGCAUCGGCUAACUCCGUGCCAGCAGCCGCGGUAAUACGGAGGAUGCGAGCGUUAUCCGGAUUUAUUGGGUUUAAAGGGUGCGUAGGCGGAAGGUUAAGUCAGCGGUAAAAUGUCGGUGCUCAACACCGUCCUGCCGUUGAAACUGGUCUUCUUGAGUGAGCGAGAAGUAGGCGGAAUGCGUGGUGUAGCGGUGAAAUGCGUAGAGAUCACGAAGAACUCUGAUUGCGAAGGCAGCAUACCGGCGCUCAACUGACGCUGAGGCACGAAAGCGUGGGGAUCGAACAGGAUUAGAUACCCCAGUAGUC
rnacentral:rRNA from 1 species